rnacentral:rRNA from 1 species
CAGUCGCCGCGGGAAUACAGAGGAUGCAAGCGUUAUCCGGAAUGAUUGGGCGUAAAGCGUCUGUAGGUGGCUUUUCAAGUCCGCCGUCAAAUCCCAGGGCUCAACCCUGGACAGGCGGUGGAAACUACCAAGCUGGAGUACGGUAGGGGCAGAGGGAAUUUCCGGUGGAGCGGUGAAAUGCGUUGAGGUCGGAAAGAACACCAACGGCGAGAGCACUCUGCUGGGCCGACACUGACACUGAGAGACGAAAGCUAGGGGAGCAAAUGGGAUUAGAUACCCCCGUAGUCCCUGUCUCUUAUAC